rnacentral:lncRNA from 1 species
GGACACCUCUUCUCCCCCCCCCCCCCCCACCGAGACCUCUGUCCAUCAUCCGGGCUUUGCUGUUUCCUUCUCUUUGAUCUCAUCUGUUCCUCUCACAGGCUGGUGGCUGCUUGGAGACUUCUCAGGAUUCAUCCUGUUUCUGGCAGAAAAUUAAUUCUUUCAUGUUUUCAUGUUUUAUGUUCUGAGCAGCGUCGGGAGCAGGAACGUGUUCUCCUGCCGAAGUCUCCUCUUAAAAGGAGAGGGACCGCUCCGAUCCAGGUCCGGCUCAGAUCAGGAGGUUCUGGACCCGCUCCGAUCCUGGUCCGGCUCAGAUCAGGAGGUUCUGGACUCGCUCCAGACCAGCCCGGUUCUCAUCAUCCUGGUCUCUGCUCUCUGACUGUAUCUGCUGCGGUUCUCUGGUCCUGCACGGAUCCACGCACAAGCUGCGCCUCACGCCGACUCUCGCUUGUAACUAGGUUCUCUUACGUCCAAACACAUGAAAACAUAAUGAAAACCACAUGAAGGAAGUUAAUCAAAGUUCCUGUUCCUGUGUGUGUGUGUGUGUAGAGGUGAUCGAGGGGUUCAGAGAUAAAAAGGUUGAUGAGUUGACACACUUAAGGGUCCUUAUGUCUCAUUUCUCUAGAGUGAAAACGUGUGUGUGUGGGGUGUGUGUGUGUGUGUGUGUGUGUGUGUGCUCCUGAUUCUUUGACUCUAUCUGAACUCACGUCGACUCUCAAAAGGGUAACAGUAAUUGUUUGAUGAACACCAGCUCUCUUUCAAGGAGGCCUUGACUGUGAGAUCACUACACGGUUACCAAGGAAACAGAUUCG